GAUGAACGCUGGCGGCGUGCCUAAUACAUGCAAGUCGAGCGAACAGACGAGGAGCCUGCUCCUCUGACGUUAGCGGCGGACGGGUGAGUAACACGUGGAUAACCUACCUAUAAGACUGGGAUAACUUCGGGAAACCGGAGCUAAUACCGGAUAACAUGUUGAACCGCAUGGUUCAACAGUGAAAGACGGUCUUGCUGUCACUUAUAGAUGGAUCCGCGCCGCAUUAGCUAGUUGGUAAGGUAACGGCUUACCAAGGCAACGAUGCGUAGCCGACCUGAGAGGGUGAUCGGCCACACUGGAACUGAGACACGGUCCAGACUCCUACGGGAGGCAGCAGUAGGGAAUCUUCCGCAAUGGGCGAAAGCCUGACGGAGCAACGCCGCGUGAGUGAAGAAGGUCUUCGGAUCGUAAAACUCUGUUAUUAGGGAAGAACAAAUGUGUAAGUAACUAUGCACGUCCUGACGGUACCUAAUCAGAAAGCCACGGCUAACUACGU
rnacentral:rRNA from 1 species